rnacentral:rRNA from 1 species
GAUGAACGCUGGCGGCGUGCCUAAUACAUGCAAGUCGAGCGAACAGACGAGGAGCUUGCUCCUCUGACGUUAGCGGCGGACGGGUGAGUAACACGUGGAUAACCUACCUAUAAGACUGGGAUAACUUCGGGAAACCGGAGCUAAUACCGGAUAAUAUAUUGAACCGCAUGGUUCAAUAGUGAAAGACGGUUUUGCUGUCACUUAUAGAUGGAUCCGCGCCGCAUUAGCUAGUUGGUAAGGUAACGGCUUACCAAGGCAACGAUGCGUAGCCGACCUGAGAGGGUGAUCGGCCACACUGGAACUGAGACACGGUCCAGACUCCUACGGGAGGCAGCAGUAGGGAAUAUUCGGCAAUGGGCGAAAGCUUGACGGAGCAACGCCGCGUGAGUGAUGAAGGUCUUCGGAUCGUAAAACUCUGUUAUUAGGGAAGAACAAAUGUGUAAGUAACUAUGCACGUCUUGACGGUACCUAAACAGAAAGCCACGGCUAACUACGUG